UCCUGGUUAGCUCGGUUGGCAGAGCGCUGCACUGGAAAUGGAGAGGUCCCUGGUUCAUUACCAGAACCAGGCG
rfam:Ixodes scapularis strain Wikel colony gcontig_1108379271616, whole genome shotgun sequence.